rnacentral:tRNA from 1 species
UCCUUGAUGGCUCAGAAGGGAAAGAGUCUGCCUGCAAUACAGGAGACCCGGGUUUGAUCCCUGGUUUGGGAA